rnacentral:rRNA from 1 species
UAAGUCUGAUGUGAAAGCCCCCGGCUCAACCGGGGAGGGUCAUUGGAAACUGGGGAACUUGAGUGCAGAAGAGGAGAGUGGAAUUCCACGUGUAGCGGUGAAAUGCUAUAGAGAUGUGGAGGAACACCAGUGGCGAAGGCGACUCUCUGGUCUGUAACUGACGCUGAGGAGCGAAAGCGUGGGGAGCGAACAGGAUUAGAUACCCUGGUAGUCCACGCCGUAAACGAUGAGUGCUAAGUGUUAGGGGGUUUCCGCCCCUUAGUGCUGCAGCUAACGCAUUAAGCACUCCGCCUGGGGAGUACGGUCGCAAGACUGAAACUCAAAGGAAUUGACGGGGGCCCGCACAAGCGGUGGAGCAUGUGGUUUAAUUCGAAGCAACGCGAAGAACCUUACCAGGUCUUGACAUCCUCUGACAAUCCUAGAGAUAGGACGUCCCCUUCGGGGGCAGAGUGACAGGUGGUGCAUGGUUGUCGUCAGCUCGUGUCGUGAGAUGUUGGGUUAAGUCCCGCAACGAGCGCAACCCUUGAUCUUAGUUGCCAGCAUUCAGUUGGGCACUCUAAGGUGACUGCCGGUGACAAACCGGAGGAAGGUGGGGAUGACGUCAAAUCAUCAUGCCCCUUAUGACCUGGGCUACACACGUGCUACAAUGGACAGAACAAAGGGCAGCGAAACCGCGAGGUUAAGCCAAUCCCACAAAUC